rnacentral:rRNA from 1 species
AGAAGGGCGUUUGGUGGAUGCCUUGGCAGUAAGAGGCGAUGAAGGACGUGAUACUCUGCGAUAAGUCAUGGGGAGCUGAGAAUAAGCUUUGAUCCAUGAAUUUCCGAAUGGGGCAACCCACUUGAUAUUUUGUUAUUGUUAACUUUACGACGGACCUGAAGAUGUCGGAGCGAACCAGCUUGCUGGUGAGACCCGUCAAGGACGGGCACGGAGUGUUAAUCAAUAGCAGGGUAAACCAAGUAUUUUUAACCUGAAUAUAUAGGGUUAAAAAGGCAAACCCGGGGAACUGAAACAUCUAAGUACCCGGAGGAAAGGAAAUCAACAGAUACUCCCUUAGUAGCGGCGAGCGAACGGGGACCAGCCGAGCUGUGAAUGUGACUAGAAUCCGUUGGAAAGCGGAGCAAUAUGGGUGACAGCCCCGUAUAGGAAGCAUGAUCAGACGUAUUAAGUAGGGCGGAACACGUGAAAUUCUGUCUGAACAUCGGAGGACCACCUUCGAAGGCUAAGUACUCCUUACUGACCGAUAGCGAACCAGUACCGUGAGGGAAAGGUGAAAAGCACCCCGACGAGGGGAGUGAAACAGUUUCUGAAACCGGACGCCUACAAACAGUCGGAGGGAUCUUGUAUCCUGACGGCGUACCUUUUGUAUAAUGGGUCAACGACUUGGUCUUACUAGCAAGCUUAAGCCGAUAGGUGUAGGCGCAGCGAAAGCGAGUCUUAAUAGGGCGAAUGAGUUAGUAGGAUCAGACCCGAAACCGAGUGAUCUAGGCAUGUCCAGGAUGAAGGUAAGGUAACACUUACUGGAGGUCCGAACCCACACCUGUUGAAAAAGGUCGGGAUGAGGUGUGCCUAGGGGUGAAAGGCCAAUCAAACUCGGAGAUAGCUGGUUCUCCGCGAAAUCUAUUUAGGUAGAGCGUCAGACGAAUACCCCGGGGGGUAGAGCACUGGAUGGGCAAUGGGGGCAUACAGCCUUACUGACCCUAACCAAACUCCGAAUACCCGGGAGUACUAUCUGGCAGACACACUGCGGGUGCUAACGCCCGUAGUGGAGAGGGAAACAACCCUGACCUCCAGCUAAGGCCCCUAAUUCAUGGCUAAGUGGGAAAGCAGGUGGGACGACCAAAACAACCAGGAAGUUGGCUUAGAAGCAGCCAUCUUUUAAAGAUAGCGUAACAGCUCACUGGUCUAAUUAAGUUAUCCUGCGGCGAAGAUGUACCGGGGCUCAAGCCAUGAGCCGAAGCUGAGGAUGCACGUAAGUGCGUGGUAGCGGAGCGUUCUGUGAUAUAGAACGCUGCGUAUUCUACUUUUACCAAUACCAACACGUUGCAGCGGGACGAGCAAUCGUCCUCAAGUAGCGAAGCGGUAGGACAUAAAAGUAUCGUACGCAAUGUUCUGACUGUGAAGCGGGCCUGUAAGGGAUCCCGUGGAGUGAUCAGAAGUGAGAAUGUUGACAUGAGUAGCGAUAAAGAGUGUGAGAGACACUCUCGCCGAAAGUCCAAGGGUUCCUGCUUAAAGCUAAUCUGAGCAGGGUAAGCCGACCCCUAAGGCGAGGCCGAAAGGCGUAGUCGAUGGGAAACCGUUUAAUAUUACGGUGCCAGGAAGAUGUGACGGAUCAUGAAGAUUGUUUCCCCUUAUUGGAUUGGGGAGGCCGUUAAGUGGUCCCUGGAAAUAGCCUUCCAUUAGAUCGUACCCUAAACCAACACAGGUGGACUGGUAGAGAAUACCAAGGCGCUUGAGAGAACUGCAUUGAAGGAACUCGGCAAAAUGCCUCCGUAAGUUCGCGAGAAGGAGGCCCGGUCAGUAGGCAACUAUUGGCUGGGGGCACAGACCAGGGGGUGGCGACUGUUUACUAAAAACACAGGGCUCUGCGAAGUCGCAAGACGACGUAUAGGGUCUGACGCCUGCCCGGUGCCGGAAGGUUAAAGGGAGGAGUGCAAGCUCCGAACUGAAGCCCCGGUAAACGGCGGCCGUAACUAUAACGGUCCUAAGGUAGCGAAAUUCCUUGUCGGGUAAGUUCCGACCUGCACGAAUGGCGUAACGACUUCCCCGCUGUCUCCAAUGCAGACUCAGCGAAAUUGAAUUGCCUGUUAAGAUGCAGGCUUCCCGCGGUUAGACGGAAAGACCCCGUGCACCUUUACUACAGCUUCACACUGGCAAUAGGUCAGACGUGUGCAGGAUAGGUGGUAGGCUUUGAAGCAGACACGCUAGUGUUUGUGGAGCCUCCCUUGAGAUACCACCCCUGUCUGUCUUAUUGUCUAACCGCGGACCGUUAUCCGGUUCCGGGACCCUGUGUGGCGGGUAGUUUGACUGGGGCGGUCGCCUCCUAAAGAGUAACGGAGGCGCGCGAUGGUGGGCUCAGACCGGUCGGAAAUCGGUCGUCGAGUGCAAUGGCAUAAGCCCGCCUGACUGCGAGACUGACAAGUCGAGCAGAGACGAAAGUCGGUCAUAGUGAUCCGGUGGUCCCGAGUGGAAGGGCCAUCGCUCAACGGAUAAAAGGUACGCCGGGGAUAACAGGCUGAUACUGCCCAAGAGUCCAUAUCGACGGCAGUGUUUGGCACCUCGAUGUCGGCUCAUCUCAUCCUGGGGCUGGAGCAGGUCCCAAGGGUACGGCUGUUCGCCGUUUAAAGAGGUACGUGAGCUGGGUUUAGAACGUCGUGAGACAGUUCGGUCCCUAUCUGCCGUGGGUGUAGGAGACUUGAUGGGAGUUGCCCCUAGUACGAGAGGACCGGGGUGAACGAUCCACUGGUGGAUCUGUUGUGGCGCCAGCCGCAGUGCAGAGUAGCUAUGAUCGGACAGGAUAACCGCUGAAGGCAUCUAAGCGGGAAGCCCCCCCAGAAACAAGGUCUCCCUUGAGGGCCGUGGAAGACCACCACGUCGAUAGGUUGGAGAUGUAAGUGCAGUAAUGCAUUCAGUUGACCAAUACUAAUUGCCCGAUAGGCUUGAUU